UUUUGAGCAUCUCAUGAAAGACCUUUAUGAAGUCAUGCACUCUAUAAAUGGUUAAGCAUGAGGGAAACAAACCAGUGGAAGUAAAGACCUAGCAGUUAAAUCUUAGGGAGUCCCUUAUGCAUGCUGAUAUGGAGUAAUCCAAUCAUGGUCAAUAUAGCUAGAGGUAUAAAGAUCACUUUCCAAGUGCCAGAGGGCUGAUGGAGGAAUGAAUGUCCUACACAGGGGAGCAUGUGGCAGCCUAGGCAAGCCUUUUGCUGGGUAAGCAGACAACAAACAGAGGAUACCCAACUAUGCACUGAAUUGGAGAAUCUGAAGUGAAGUGACUCCUUCACUCCAAAUCAUUGAGUAUUUCCAGAAGCAGGUUCACCAAACAUCAAUUAUUGGCCUGUUUACCUUUACAGAAGUAUGUUAUCUCCCUCUCUAGAAUACAUUCAAUAAAAUCCUUCAACAAGGCUUGAUGAGUCAGUUUGAGCUGGAUUUAAUAUACUGGAAGAACAUUUCCAGAUUUUUCCAUUCCUCUGAAACCCAAGCAUGGCUUUCUUUGACAAAUUUGCAAAAGCCUGAACUUUGAAUUGGGAAUAUCCUUAAUAUAAAAUUGAGAUAUUUUCUCCCAGAGCCUUGAUCACAUAUUAAAGCUUCCACAUAUCUGUUUCA